UCGGGAAUUUUGGGCAAUGGGCGAAAGCCUGACCCAGCAACGCCGCGUGAGGGAUGAAGGCCUUCGGGUCGUAAACCUCUGUCGGGAGUGAAGAAGGACCCCCGGACCAAUAAUCCGGGGGUUUGACGGUACCUCCAAAGGAAGCGCCGGCUAACUCCGUGCCAGCAGCCGCGGUAAUACGGAGGGCGCGAGCGUUGUUCGGAAUCAUUGGGCGUAAAGCGCGUGUAGGCGGCUUGGUAAGUCGGGUGUGAAAGCCCGGGGCUCAACCCCGGAAAUGCACUCGAAACUACCUCGCUCGAGUCCCGGAGAGGAGGGCGGAAUUCCCGGUGUAGAGGUGAAAUUCGUAGAUAUCGGGAGGAACACCAGUGGCGAAGGCGGCCCUCUGGACGGCGACUGACGCUGAGACGCGAAAGCGUGGGGAGCAAACAGGAUUAGAUACCCCGGUAGUCC
rnacentral:rRNA from 1 species